GAUCACUGCUAUUGGAAUUCGACUAAGGCAUGCGAGUCGAGAGGGUACGGCCCUCGGCGGACUGCUCAGUAACACGUGGACAAUCUGCCCUUAGGCGGGGGAUAAUCUCGAGAAAUUGAGCAUAAUACCCCAUAGCUCUAGAUUGCUGGAAUGCUUUUAGAGUCAAAGCCCCGGCGCCUAAGGAUGAGUCUGCGGCCUAUCAGGUUGUAGUGAGUGUAACGGACUCACUAGCCGACGACGGGUACGGGUCCUGGAAGGGAGAGCCCGGAGAUGGACUCUGAGACACGAGUCCAGGCCCUACGGGGCGCAGCAGGCGCGAAAUCUUCACAAUGUGCGAAAGCACGAUGAGGGGAUCCCAAGUGCUGGCACGUAAGUGUCAGCUGUUUCUUAGUCUAAAAAACUGAGAGAGUAAGGGCUGGGUAAGACGGGUGCCAGCCGCCGCGGUAAUACCUGCAGCUCAAGUGGUGGCCGCUAUUAUUGGGCCUAAAACGUCCGUAGCCUGUUUAGUAAAUGCUUGGGUAAAUUGUGUAGCUUAACUAUACGAAUACCGGGUAGACUGCUAAACUUGGGACCGGGAGAGGCUAGAGGUACUCCUGGGGUAGAGGUGAAAUUCUGUAAUCCUAGGGGGACCACCAGUGGCGAAGGCGUCUAGCUAGAACGGGUCUGACGGUGAGGGACGAAGCCCUGGGGCGCAAACCGGAUUAGAUACCCGGGUAGUCCAGGGUGUAAACGCUGCUUGCUUGAUGUUAGUUGGGCUCCGAGCCCAACUAGUGUCGGAGAGAAGUUGUUAAGCAAGCUGCCUGGGAAGUACGGUCGCAAGACUGAAACUUAA
rnacentral:rRNA from 1 species